rnacentral:rRNA from 1 species
GAUAUGGUCAAUAGCNUCACGGCUGAACACAGCAACUUGGAGGAAUGUAUAGCAAUAGCUAAUUGCACCAACAAACAGUUGAUGUAGUAUCGACUAUGUCGAAUAAAAUUCUAGGUAGAACUAUGAUAAUGACAUUAUCUGCCUAUGUGUCUUGACCAAAUUACGUGCCAGCAGUCGCGGUAAUACGUAGAAGACUAGUGUUAUUCAUCUUUAAUAGGUUUAAAGGGUACCUAGACGGUAAAUCAAGCCUUAAAUGGGACUAGUUUACUAGAGUUACUUGUGAGGGGGUAUUAAAGUACUGAUGGUGUAGAGAUGAAAUUUUUUGAUACCUCUUCUAUAUUGAUAGAAUUAAUGGCACAGAUAUAGGCGAAAGCAUCCCCUUAUGUGAUAACUGACGUUGAAGGACGAAGGCUUUGUGUCGCGAACAGGAUUAGAUACCCCAGUAGUCAAAGCAGAAAAUGAUGAAUGUCAUAGACUAGACAUACAGUUUUUUCUAUAAAUGAAAGUGUAAGCAUUCCACCUCAAGAGUAAUUUGGCAACAUUGGAACUGAAAUCAUUAGACCGUAUCUGAAACCAGUAGUGAAGUAUGUUGUUUAAUUUGAUGUUCCGCAAAAAACCUUACCACAAUUUGAAUAUUUAUAUUUACAUUUACAGUUAUUUAUAUAUGUCUCUUUCAUUAUUUAUUUUAGUUUUUAUAAUCUUUAAUUAAAGAUACAUAUAAAAUAUACAUAUAAAAUAUAUUUACAAGCGUUGCACGGCUGUCUUCAGUUAAUGUCGUGAGAUUUUGGUUAGUUCCAUUAAAUUAACGUAAACCCUUACUUUAUUUUUACAUAAAGUAGUUCCCCACUAGAUUGGAUAUGAUAACAGGGACUAAGACA